rnacentral:tRNA from 1 species
AGUCCUUGGGAGGAACGUUUUCCCCCUUUUCUGGUUUACUAGACCAGGGUAAUGUGCGACGGGAG